rnacentral:rRNA from 1 species
UACGUAGGGGGCAAGCGUUAUCCGGAAUCACUGGGCGUAAAGGGAGCGUAGGCGGUUUGACAAGCCAGAGGUGAAAGGCAAUAGCUUAACUAUUGUAAGCCUUUGGAACUGUCGAACUUGAGUGCAGGAGAGGAAAGUGGAAUUCCUAGUGUAGCGGUGAAAUGCGUAGAUAUUAGGAGGAACACCAGUGGCGAAGGCGACUUUCUGGACUGUAACUGACGCUGAGGCUCGAAAGCGUGGGGAGCGAACAGGAUUAGAUACCCCAGUAGU